UGUGUGGCAAAGCUUUGAUUAUCCGACUGAUGCUCUGCUUCCAGAUAUGAAAGUUAGGCUGAAUCUGAAGACAGGAUCACUUGCCCUUAACAUCAUGGAAAUCAGCAGAUGACCUUGGAAAUGGCGACUACUCCCUUAAGCUCAAUCCAUCUGGAUCACCACAAUUCUAUCUCUAUAAAAACAUUAUAUUAAUCGACUGUAUAAUCAAAAUCUACAUUCAGUCAAGAAGAUCAUAGAAACAUUAUGUAUUUUCACAAACUGUUUCUUCAAUCUUUUCUUCUUCUUCUUAUCCUGCACUUCACAGUUUCUUCUUCCAAAGACACCAUAA
rnacentral:misc_RNA from 1 species